rnacentral:rRNA from 1 species
UACAGAGGGGGCGAGCGUUGUUCGGAAUUACUGGGCGUAAAGGGCGCGUAGGCGGCCUUCUAAGUCGAACGUGAAAUCCCCGGGCUCAACCCGGGAACUGCGUCCGAUACUGGAAGGCUUGAAUCCGGGAGAGGGAUGUGGAAUUCCAGGUGUAGCGGUGAAAUGCGUAGAUAUCUGGAGGAACACCGGUGGCGAAGGCGACAUCCUGGACCGGUAUUGACGCUGAGGAGCGAAAGCUAGGGGAGCAAACGGG